rnacentral:rRNA from 1 species
CCCUUAGAGUUUGAUCCUGGCUCAGAUUGAACGCUGGCGGCAUGCCUUACACAUGCAAGUCGAACGACGCUGGGGGCAACUCUAGCGAGUGGCGAACGGGUGAGUAAUGCAUCGGAACGUGCCCUCUCGUGGGGGAUAACCAGUCGAAAGAUUGGCUAAUACCGCAUGAGCUCGAGAGAGGAAAGCGGGGGACCGCAAGGCCUCGCGCGAGAGGAGCGGCCGAUGCCCGAUUAGCUAGUUGGUGGGGUAAAGGCCCACCAAGGCGACGAUCGGUAGCUGGUCUGAGAGGACGACCAGCCACACUGGGACUGAGACACGGCCCAGACUCCUACGGGAGGCAGCAGUGGGGAAUUUUGGACAAUGGGCGAAAGCCUGAUCCAGCCAUGCCGCGUGUGUGAAGAAGGCCUUCGGGUUGUAAAGCACUUUCGGCCGGAACGAAAUCGCGCGGGUGAACAAUCCGCGUGGAUGACGGUACCGGUAGAAGAAGCACCGGCUAACUACGUGCCAGCAGCCGCGGUAAUACGUAGGGUGCGAGCGUUAAUCGGAAUUACUGGGCGUAAAGCGUGCGCAGGCGGCGCCGCAAGUCAGGCGUGAAAUCCCCGGGCUUAACUUGGGAAUGGCGCUUGAAACUACGGUGCUGGAGUGUGGCAGAGGGAGGUGGAAUUCCACGUGUAGCGGUGAAAUGCGUAGAGAUGUGGAGGAACACCGAUGGCGAAAGCAGCCUCCUGGGCCAACACUGACGCUCAUGCACGAAAGCGUGGGGAGCAAACAGAUUAGAUACCCUGGUAGUCA